AGAGUUUGAUUCUGGCUCAGAACGAACGCUGGCAGCGUGGAUUAGGCAUGCAAGUCGAACGUGAAGCCGAUGAUCAAUCUUUCGGGAAAGUGAUUCGGUGGAAAGUGGCGGAAGGGUGAGUAACGCGUGGGUAAGCUACCUUUAAGUUGGGGACAACCAGAUGAAAAUCUGGCUAAUACCGAAUGUGGUCUUCUGGCACAUGUCAGGAUGACUAAAGGCGGGGAUUCUUCGGAACCUGCCGCUUGAAGAUGCACCCGCGUGCCAUCAGCUUGUUGGUAGGGUAACGGCCUACCAAGGCUUACGGCUAGCCGGCCUGAGAGGGUGACCGGCCACACUGGGACUGAGACACUGCCCAGACUCCUACGGGAGGCUGCAGUCGAGGAUCAUUCGCAAUGCGCGAAAGCGUGACGAUGCGACGCUGCGUGGGGGAUGAAGGCCUUCGGGUCGUAAACUCCUGUCAUGAGGGAAAAGUAUCCCUGCAAUCAAUAGUUGCGGGGCUCGAUGGUACCUCAAGAGGAAGCCACGGCUAACUCUGUACCAGCCGCGGUAAUACAGAGGUGGCGAGCGUUGUUCGGAUUUACUGGGCGUAAAGGGUGCGUAGGUGGUUUUGUGUGUCGGAUGUGAAAGCCCAUGGCUCAACCGUGGAAUUGCAUUCGAAACUGCAGGACUAGAGUGCAGGAUGGGAGAGCGGAAUUUUUGGUGUAGCGGUGAAAUGCGUUGAUAUCAAGAAGAACACCGGUGGCGAAGGCGGCUCUCUGGAAUGCUACUGACACUGAGGCACGAAAGCUGGGGGAGCAAACAGGAUUAGAUACCCUGGUAGUCCCAGCCGUAAACGGUGCACACUUGGUGUGGGGAGAUUUAACCCUCUCCGUGCCGGAGCUAACGCGUUAAGUGUGCCGCCUGGGGAGUACGGCCGCAAGGCUAAAACUCAAAGAAAUUGACGGGGGCCCGCACAAGCGGAGGAGCAUGUGGCUUAAUUCGAUGCAACGCGAAGAACCUUACCAGGGCUUGACAUAUACCUGCAAACCCCGUGAAAGCGGGGAAUCCUUCGAGGGUGGUAUACAGGUGCUGCAUGGCUGUCGUCAGUUCGUGCCGUGAGGUGUUGGGUUAAGUCCCGUAACGAACGCAACCCUUGUGACUAGUUGCCACCGGCGGUGAUGAGCCGUCGAGCACUCUAGUCAGACUGCCCGUACAAGCGGGAGGAAGGUGGGGAUGACGUCAAGUCAGUAUGGCCCUUACGCCCUGGGCUGCACACGUGCUACAAUGGUCGGUACAAUGGGAUGCAAUACCGCGAGGUGGAGCCAAUCCUGAAAGCCGGCCCCAGUUCGGAUUGAAGUCUGCAACUCGACUUCAUGAAG
rnacentral:rRNA from 1 species